rnacentral:rRNA from 1 species
AUGGCCUCGAGCUCAAACCCGGUCAGCAUGGACAUGGACCCGCCCGUCGUCUCUAUCGCCGUCGAGCACGGCCCGCCGGAGUCGCGCCUGGUUCAGCUCGGCGUCAGGUCCUGGCCCAAGUGGGGCUGCCCGACGGGGAAGUUUCCGGUGAAGUUCGACGCGAGGCAGACGUGCUAUCUGGUGAAGGGCAAGGUGAGGGCGCACAUCAAGGGGUCGUCCGAGUGCGUGGAGUUCGGCGCCGGCGACCUCGUCGUCUUCCCCAAGGGGCUCAGCUGCACCUGGGACGUCGUCGCCGCCGUCGACAAGUACUACAAGUUCGAUUCGUCUUGA